rnacentral:rRNA from 1 species
UACAGAGGUCUCAAGCGUUGUUCGGAUUCAUUGGGCGUAAAGGGUGCGUAGGUGGUGGGGUAAGUCGGAUGUGAAAUCCCGGGGCUCAACCCCGGAACUGCAUUCGAAACUGCCUUGCUCGAGUACUGGAGAGGAGACUGGAAUUUACGGUGUAGCAGUGAAAUGCGUAGAUAUCGUAAGGAAGAUCAGUGGCGAAGGCGAGUCUCUGGACAGUUACUGACACUGAGGCACGAAAGCUAGGGGAGCAAACAGG